GGACGGUUAGCUUAUCGGUUAAAGCUUUGUGUUGCGCAACCAAUUUAUAACGAUUGAGACAGGUUCGAUUCCUGUACCGUCCA
rnacentral:tRNA from 1 species